CCCCCCCCUCGCUACUGGAAGAUAUUUUUUUAUUUUCCCUUGCUGCCUCCCUAUGCUGGCAACGUCCUGCGAGUGGCUAUUUUGCUUUUGCACCGAGAGAAGAGCUUCCCCCCUCGCCCUCUCUUCUGACACUUAUGGAUCAAAUCCACGCUGAUGUCUAACCUGUAAUGAGUGCCAAUGUUUUGACCUUUCAAUAGAGAGCUGAUUUUGGAGAACGGCUUACUCCUGUGAUUGAAAAACUCUCUGGAAGGUUGAUGGAGCAUGAGCAUGGACAGUCUUUCAUUGAGAUGAUUGAAAUUGCUGCAGUGAGAAUGGAAAUUACUUGGGCUCCUUUCCUUUUAAAAGCUGCAUGCAAGAACUGUGUGCAGGCAUUUAGGAACAUUGCUGAGAUCACACAAACACAAGCCUUUUCUUCUCCAGGCUGGAGUCUCAGCUCACUCAGCCUUUCUUCGUGUGAAAGAUUCUUCAGUUCUCUCAUCGUCUUUGUGGAAGUAAAUAAAAUGCUUCAUCUAAUAAGGGGAAUUAGAAUUCAACGGAGAAAACGUUUUUUGUGAGGGGGGGAGAAAAAGCCAAAGCACAAGCUAAUAACUGUAAAAAGAACAAGAAGAUCACAAAAUGAAACAUUAAGAAGUUAGAUAACUCCUGCUUUAAGAUUCUGCAAUCUUCAUUUGCCCCCUUGUGUCAGUAUACUAUGAAGCAAUCUUCAUGAUCACACACAAUGUUUAAUGUAUUGAUAGGGUCAGCCUGUUGUGGUGCUGGGCCAGGGAAGAUGUUUGUGGGCUGUGCAAGCAAGAAGCCUGAUAUUGUUACAGGUGCUUCAGAAACUGGUAAAAAACUCUGUAGGCAAUGGAACAAAUGGCUGCAAAUAGAAGAAACCAUGUCUUCAUGGUUAUAUCAAGUGAGAAUUCCUAAGAAUUUUAUGUGAUGUUUAUUUUUCUGCCUUUAUUCUCCCUUGAUGCUGGACAAGUAACCAGGCCAUUGUUUCUGUAAUGCAUAUAUUGUGCUUUACUUUAGAGGUGUCUGAUUUAAGACUCAUGUGUGAGAGAAACACUGGUGGUUCACAUUGGUAGCUGAGCUUCUUAGGAGUUGUCAUUUGAAUUAAAAUACUCUGUAAAGUUAUGUCUGCUGACAGUCUCCUGUCUUCUUAAAAGGAACUUCAGAUUGUUGCAUACUAUGAUAGUUUCUACACCUCCUUGUCACAUUUAAAAUGGGAGUAAUGGACACAUACCUUGAAGGGCUGUUGGCUACUUUUGUUUAGUAGCUGUACUACAGUAAUGCAUGUCCUCAUGGAAUUUUCUAUGGCAUUUAGUAAUUCUGAUUUCGGAGGAAGAGGUGAGUACCGUGCAUCUUUUAAAGACCAGAUCUGCAAUCAACUUAUCAAUUGUUAUCAGCUCAGGCUGGGAAGCAGAGUUUCUGUGCUAUUUAUUCAUAGUCUAUUUCUGCAGUCCUGUGAACGGCAAAAUAUUCUGAUUUGUGUCCUGUCUUGUCACUGAUUCAUUUUGCAAAUACAACUCAUUAUUAAAUACUUGUGUGUGUCGUUUUUUGCUUGUCAUCUUUGUAAGCAACAUCAUCAACAUUCUGCAAAAUCUUCCAUAUACUAAAGGUAAUGUACUUAUUUGAACUUCAGCAUAUUUGACAAUAAAUUUACCUGUGAAGAUCUAUUUUCCAGAAACAAUGAACUAGUUAAAUUGUAAAAAUUUCUUAAUGUACAGUGGUAAGCACUUAAUCUCUAAAAAUGUAAAGGGACUUAUACCAAAGUAUUUAGGACUUCUAACCUAAAUGAAGCCAUUUUCUUCAGAUUUCAAAGGCAGUUUUCUUGAUACUGCCUAUGGCAGGCACACUUUGUUAAGUAAGAGUGGUCUGUACUUGAAAUUUGGAUGCAGUGAUCUGAAAAUGUUUCAGCUUUUCCCUUAGUCAUGGUAUCUUGUUAAGUAUUGGGGAAAGUCUCUUCUAAUUAGGUAGCCGCAGUAGCAGUUGAAAUUUGAAGUGUUUAGACUUUUCCUUUAUCACAAUCUAUUGUCACAGAAGUCACAAGAAAUUAUAGAAAUACACCCAGA